rnacentral:rRNA from 1 species
GUCUAUAGCCAUGUUGCCCUGAACAAGCCCAAUGUCGGAUCUCAGAAGGUAAGCAGGGUUGGGCCUGGUUAGUACUUGGAUGGGAGACCACCUAGGAAGACCAGGUGCUGUAGGCA